UCAGAACCCUCGUCAUCUUCUCAAGUUCUUUUGAUAAAAAAUUAUUUCUGAGAUUGAUUUCAAAAACCCUGUUCAUCUUCUCAAAUUUUUCUCUCCUCUUCGUAUCUCUUUUCCCCCCUGGAGCUCGGUCUCUCUCAUCUCUCUCACCGUGGUGUCGCCGUUGCUCUCUGUCUCGUCAUCGUCUUGUCCAUAGUCGCGCGCCUUCGUUGCGCUCUUCGUCGCCGGCGGCAGAAGCAGCAGGUCCUGGGGCUCAUCGUCUUCUUGCUUCGAAUGUCGCCGUCAGCCUCCUUUGCGCAAUCAGGAGCUGCUUCAUGAUUUGGUGAGUUCUAACAAAGGUAAGAUUUUAUUGUUGUUAGUUGAAACUUGAAACCGUGACGCUGAUGUUUUCUUCCCUUUUCAUUGGAAUCAUCGAAACCAAAGCCACACACUGUUAAAACCAGUGUUCCUCCUUCGUAGUUUCCAUCAUUCAUUGCAAGCUUUUCUCCAUUUCCUCGCACACCAUUCUCCAUUCCUUCUUCGACCUCGUCACCACAAAAAAUCCUUUAUAUUCUCGCUCACCCACUUCGCUAGAUCACACUGUCAUUUGAGCUCAGCAGCUAAAAAAAAUCGGUUUUUGGUUUUUGGGGUUUGUUCAAAAUGGCGUCCUUCACCAUCCCUUGUCCCAAGUGUCUCUCUUUUUCACAUUUGGGAUUGAACUCUCAUACCAAACAACGGAACAUGCACGUGGCUGGGUUGGGAUUGAAGAAAUCCCAAUCAUUCGGAUCUUUGGUUUGUGAUUCAAACUCAAAUGGGGUUCAGGUGUGUGUGAUUUGUUCUGAUUCCAAAUGUGAUUGUUUUUUUUUGUUCCUUUGUCGUGCAUGGUUUAUGUAGAUUACAUGUUUGAGACUUUGAUUCUAUGUUUUUGAAGCUGAAAAUGUCGCUAUAGAAUGGUGCCGUGCAGUUAACUUGUUUCUUUUUUAGCAUUUAUCAGUUGUUAAUUAUUGUCUAUGUUCUCAUUUUAGCAAUUCUAUUGUGUUUGGCAUAAAUUAGUGUGACCCAUUAUAUUAACCAAUUAAGUGAAUUUCCACUUGCAUUGCCUGAAAUCUGGACUCUGGAGUGGAUUUAUGUCCCAUGUUUAUUCUGAAGAAUAACUUAUUUUGUAUUUUGGGUAUAACUUUUGCACAAUUGUGCCUGCAUGAAUGUAUGUUAUUGCAUGGAUGUAAAUUUAGUUAUUAAAAUACUAAUGUAAUGUUUUCAGAAUUGUGGUGGAUAUCACAAUAUUCAUUUUUUAUAUCAAUGAUCAGAUGUAAAAUGUGGUAAUAAUAUUCUUGAGAUCAACAUGCCAGCUACUUUAACAUUCUCUUGUAUAUUUGAUUAUUUUGGUGACAUGCAGUAGGUAGACUUUUUUUUUUUUGGUCCUAACCGCUCCUUCCUUCUUAAAACAUCACUGUCAUCUGCAUGAACAGCAUUGAAUUUUGUGAAUACCAAAUGCUUCAGACCAUUUAUGCUUUCCAAGGAGAUCAUAUCAAAUAGAAAGUGGAAUGGAUAUCUGAGAUUAGUUAUUGAAAUUGCAAUUUGCCUUAGCAGUCUAGUACAAUUUACGUGGUUUCUGAUCAUGACAUGAAGGUUUUAUUGAUAUUUCGAAUAUUCAAAGGGGAUAUCCUCCAAUUUUUAUUCUACUUAGCCUAAGGUUUGAUAUGCCUCUUGAUCUGACAUGUUUCGCUAUCUGCACUUGUCAUGUAAUCCAUGCUCAAUUUCAAGUGAUUGUUUUUUAAAACUGCAGCCGACCAUCUAUAGGAUGGGUCAAACUUAAUGGAGGUUGGUGAUGUAACGUAUAUUGCAAGGUCACAAUAUAGGAAAUUCAGCAAAAAGCUAUGGAACAUUCAUUGGAGGGCUUCUGUUCACUCUGCAUUAUGCAGGCUUGAUGCUACUUGUGGAAGGAACAAGUAGUUUAUAGAGAGGAAUGUUCACCUGGUUUGAAGCUUUGGCAUUCUCAUUAGGAUUCAAGUUUUGGUUGAAGUGAAUUGUAGUACAAUUUGCAUGAGCCAGUGGCUGCGACGAUGGAGAAUGGAGAGAGCAUUACAGCAAGAAAUUACAAAAUCAAUGGUAUCAGUUUUGUGAUUAACCAUGGACAUUAGACAUCUAGUGUGUAACAACUUGACCAUCAAUAGGAAUAAUAAAACAGGGCGAGCGGAGAAACAACUGCAUUUAUUGAUUUGCUGACAGUGCUGUUGGACGGUUGGAAGUUCCUCGGCUUAGAUCAUGAACAGCGACAUUCAUAUAUUGCAUGCAAGUACAACAAUUACCACAAAACCUUUUACCUUAUGAUAGAGAUAUAGAGUUAUUUACAUGGGUCAAUACCACCAAAGGAUCCAAUAUUCCUAUUGUAAAUCAUACAAACAAAGCAUUGAAAUCACAGAGCACCAAAUGUAUCUAUAGUUGAGACGAAAUUCUAAAAUUCUAGCAAAUUUUGUAGGUAGGAGUGGUUACUAUAUACAAUGGAACUUGAGGAGGGCUUUUUUGAAAUCUUAAAUGAGACCAUCAAAUCUGAUACCCUCCAGGAUAUGGUAGAUGAAUUUCAUUUGGUUGA